AUAUAUAUUGUAUAUCUAAUUUAUAGUUCUAUUAACGAGUUAGUGGACUGCUCUGAGAACGCGGCACGUAAGAUCUGUGGCAAUGAAGCGGCCAAGUUUACUCGCGAACUGGUUGAUAAAUACGCCAACAGCUUAACCAAGAUCUACUGCGAGGACUUCACUCGACAUCCGCAAAUAUGUCGAGAUGACGAAGGGGAUGGGGCCAGUGCUUUGGGGCGCAGUGGUUUGGGGCUAGUCACAUGCCUGUUAUUGUUGCAGCUGGUCAGAUAGAUGGAGAUGCUUGCAGUCACACAGGACAAUUAAAUUUCCUUUCUGAAAAUACACACACUCACACACAUAUAUAUGCAUAUCCACAGCCACACAUAAUUCAAGUUAUACAAUAGUUAAGGUUUCUAGAACACAGAGGUGCAGCAAGAGAAGAAGAAGAACCAUUUAUUGGAAAUUCUGUAAGCAUGUUAUUUGUUGUGUACAUUCGCGGACUUGCUUAGAAUUGCUAUUCAGAGAAUUUAGGGUUGAUCGAUGGGACGCUGAGGCAGGAGAUGAGAGAAAACAAACAUCAAAAAUUUUAAGGUACAUGUAAAAGUAAAGCGUAUAGUCAGUGUGUACACAUACUACCCAGAUAUAUAUUUAUAAAUAAGUUGAAAGUCUUCAUAGGUUUUAGGUUAGUGUCUAUGAGUGUGUUGAAUGUUACUUCUAGAACGAAAUGUUGUUGACAGUUAACGAUUGGCACAUUGAAGCAUUGAGUGCAAUAACAUAUUAGUUGAGUUGCCUCUUGCAGGGCAAAUUGUUCACAUAAGAUUAUUAUUAUAUGAAAAUAAAUGCUUAUAUUGUUGCAAUUAAUUUGUUUCCGCAUGAGCUAGGAGUUUUGAUUCUUAUGCUAUUUAUUUAAAUACGGCAAGAUUAUCCGUAAGCAAACACAAUAUAAUCGCGCACAAAGCAAAAGCAAUAAUCCACGGUUAAGAAA